rnacentral:rRNA from 1 species
GAGGAACCUUACCUGGGCUCGAACGUAAGAUGACUGUAGGUGAAAGCUUACAUCUCUUCGGAGCAUUUUACGAGGUGCUGCAUGGUUGUCGUCAGCUCGUGCCAUGAGGUGUCGGGUUAAGUCCCAUAACGAGCGCAACCCCUACCUUUAGUUGCCAUCAGGUUAAGCUGGGGACUCUAAAGGAACUGCCUACGCAAGUAGUGAGGAAGCGGGGAUGACGUCAAAUCAGCACGGCCCUUACGUCCAGGGCUACACACGUGCUACAAUGGCCGAUACAGAGGGCAGCUACCUGGUGACAGGAUGCAAAUCUCCAAAGUCGGUCUCAGUUCGGAUCGGAGUCUGCAACCCGACUCCGUGAAGUUGGAUUCGCUAGUAAUCGCGCAUCAGCCAUGGCGCGGUGAAUACGUUCCCGGGCCUU